rnacentral:rRNA from 1 species
AUGGUUAAGUUAGAAAGGGCGCACGGUGAAUGCCUUGGCACUAGGAGCCGAUGAAGGACGGGACUAACACCGAUAUGCUUCGGGGAGCUGUAAGUAAGCUUUGAUCCGGAGAUUUCCGAAUGGGGAAACCCACUGUUCGUAAUGGAGCAGUAUCUUUAUCUGAAUACAUAGGAUAUUGAAGGCAGACCCGGGGAACUGAAACAUCUAAGUACCCGGAGGAAGAGAAAGCAAAUGCGAUUUCCUGAGUAGCGGCGAGCGAAACGGAAUUAGCCCAAACCAAGAGGCUUGCCUCUUGGGGUUGUAGGACACUCUAUACGGAGUUACAAAGGAACGAGGUAAAUGAAGAGGUCUGGAAAGGCCCGUCAAAGAAGGUAACAACCCUGUAGUUGAAACUUCGUUCCCUCUUGAGUGGAUCCUGAGUACGGCGGAACACGUGAAAUUCCGUCGGAAGCUGGGAGGACCAUCUCCCAAGGCUAAAUACUCCCUAGUGACCGAUAGUGAACCAGUACCGUGAGGGAAAGGUGAAAAGCACCCCGGAAGGGGAGUGAAAGAGAUCCUGAAACCGUGUGCCUACAAGUAGUCAGAGCCCGUUAAUGGGUGAUGGCGUGCCUUUUGUAGAAUGAACCGGCGAGUUACGAUCCCAUGCAAGGUUAAGUUGAAGAGACGGAGCCGUAGCGAAAGCGAGUCUGAAUAGGGCGUUUAGUAUGUGGUUGUAGACCCGAAACCAGGUGAUCUACCCAUGUCCAGGGUGAAGUUCAGGUAACACUGAAUGGAGGCCCGAACCCACGCACGUUGAAAAGUGCGGGGAUGAGGUGUGGGUAGCGGAGAAAUUCCAAUCGAACCUGGAGAUAGCUGGUUCUCUCCGAAAUAGCUUUAGGGCUAGCCUCACGUAGUGAGAGUCUUGGAGGUAGAGCACUGAUUGGACUAGGGGCCCCCAACGGGUUACCGAAUUCAGUCAAACUCCGAAUGCCAAAGACUUAUCCGUGGGAGUCAGACUGCGAGUGAUAAGAUCCGUAGUCAAAAGGGAAACAGCCCAGACCACCAGCUAAGGUCCCCAAGUAUACGUUAAGUGGAAAAGGAUGUGGAGUUGCUUAGACAACCAGGAUGUUGGCUUAGAAGCAGCCACCAUUUAAAGAGUGCGUAAUAGCUCACUGGUCGAGUGACUCUGCGCCGAAAAUGUACCGGGGCUAAACGUAUCACCGAAGCUGUGGAUUGACAUCGUAGAUGUCAGUGGUAGGAGAGCGUUCUAAGUGCAGCGAAGCUAGACCGUAAGGACUGGUGGAGCGCUUAGAAGUGAGAAUGCCGGUAUGAGUAGCGAAAGACAAGUGAGAAUCUUGUCCACCGAAUGCCUAAGGUUUCCUGAGGAAGGCUCGUCCGCUCAGGGUUAGUCGGGACCUAAGCCGAGGCUGAAAAGCGUAGGCGAUGGCCAACAGGUUGAUAUUCCUGUACCACCUCCCCGCCGUUUGAGUAAUGGGGGGACGCAGGAGGAUAGGGUAAGCGCGCUGCUGGAUAUGCGCGUUCAAGCAGUUAGGCUGAUGAGUAGGCAAAUCCGCUCAUCAUAAGGCUGAGCUGUGAUGACGAGGGAAAUAUAGUACCGAAGUUCCUGAUUCCACACUGCCAAGAAAAGCCUCUAGCGAGGCGGGAGGUGCCCGUACCGCAAACCGACACAGGUAGGCGAGGAGAGAAUCCUAAGGUGAUCGAGAGAACUCUCGUUAAGGAACUCGGCAAAAUGACCCCGUAACUUCGGGAGAAGGGGUGCUCUGGUAGGGUGUAUAGCCCGAGAGAGCCGCAGUGAAUAGGCCCAGGCGACUGUUUAGCAAAAACACAGGUCUCUGCGAAGCCGCAAGGCGAAGUAUAGGGGCUGACGCCUGCCCGGUGCUGGAAGGUUAAGAGGAGGGGUUAUCCUUUGGGAGAAGCUCUGAAUCGAAGCCCCAGUAAACGGCGGCCGUAACUAUAACGGUCCUAAGGUAGCGAAAUUCCUUGUCGGGUAAGUUCCGACCCGCACGAAAGGCGUAACGAUCUGGGCACUGUCUCAACGAGAGACUCGGUGAAAUUAUAGUACCUGUGAAGAUGCAGGUUACCCGCGACAGGACGGAAAGACCCCGUGGAGCUUUACUGUAGCCUGAUAUUGAAUUUUGGUACAGCUUGUACAGGAUAGGUAGGAGCCUGAGAAGCCGGAGCGCUAGCUUCGGUGGAGGCGUCGGUGGGAUACUACCCUGGUUGUAUUGAAAUUCUAACCC